rnacentral:tRNA from 1 species
GAGGGUACAGCUCAAGUGGUAGAGCACAUGCUUAGCAUGCAUGAGGUCCUAGGCUCAAGCCCCAGUACCUUGU